rnacentral:rRNA from 1 species
CCUACGGGGGGCUGCAGUGGGGAAUAUUGGACAAUGGGGGGAACCCUGAUCCAGCCAUGCCGCGUGUGUGAAGAAGGCCCUCGGGUUGUAAAGCACUUUCAGUGAGGAAGAACGCCUGGUGGUGAAUACCCAUCAGGAAAGACAUCACUCACAGAAGAAGCACCGGCUAACUCCGUGCCAGCAGCCGCGGUAAUACGGAGGGUGCGAGCGUUAAUCGGAAUUACUGGGCGUAAAGCGCGCGUAGGUGGCUUGAUAAGCCGGUUGUGAAAGCCCCGGGCUCAACCUGGGAACGGCAUCCGGAACUGUCAAGCUAGAGUGCAGGAGAGGAAGGUAGAAUUCCCGGUGUAGCGGUGAAAUGCGUAGAGAUCGGGAGGAAUACCAGUGGCGAAGGCGGCCUUCUGGACUGACACUGACACUGAGGUGCGAAAGCGUGGGUAGCAAACAGGAUUAGAUACCCUUGUAGUC